rnacentral:rRNA from 1 species
AGAGUUUGAUCAUGGCUCAGGAUGAACGCUGGCGGCGUGCUUAACACAUGCAAGUCGAACGAUGAUGGGAGCUUGCUCCUGGAUUAGUGGCGAACGGGUGAGUAACACGUGAGUAACCUGCCCUUAACUCUGGGAUAAGCCUGGGAAACUGGGUCUAAUACCGGAUAUGACUCCUCAUCGCAUGGUGGGGGGUGGAAAGCUUUAUUGUGGUUUUGGAUGGACUCGCGGCCUAUCAGCUUGUUGGUGAGGUAAUGGCUUACCAAGGCGACGACGGGUAGCCGGCCUGAGAGGGUGACCGGCCACACUGGGACUGAGACACGGCCCAGACUCCUACGGGAGGCAGCAGUGGGGAAUAUUGCACAAUGGGCGCAAGCCUGAUGCAGCGACGCCGCGUGAGGGAUGACGGCCUUCGGGUUGUAAACCUCUUUCAGUAGGGAAGAAGCGAAAGUGACGGUACCUGCAGAAGAAGCGCCGGCUAACUACGUGCCAGCAGCCGCGGUAAUACGUAGGGCGCAAGCGUUAUCCGGAAUUAUUGGGCGUAAAGAGCUCGUAGGCGGUUUGUCGCGUCUGCCGUGAAAGUCCGGGGCUCAACUCCGGAUCUGCGGUGGGUACGGGCAGACUAGAGUGAUGUAGGGGAGACUGGAAUUCCUGGUGUAGCGGUGAAAUGCGCAGAUAUCAGGAGGAACACCGAUGGCGAAGGCAGGUCUCUGGGCAUUAACUGACGCUGAGGAGCGAAAGCAUGGGGAGCGAACAGGAUUAGAUACCCUGGUAGUCCAUGCCGUAAACGUUGGGCACUAGGUGUGGGGGACAUUCCACGUUUUCCGCGCCGUAGCUAACGCAUUAAGUGCCCCGCCUGGGGAGUACGGCCGCAAGGCUAAACUCAAUGAUUGACGGAUCGUCGACCUGCAGCAUGCAGCUUGCACUGGCGUCGUUUACACGUCGUGACUGCAAAACCCUGCGUUACCCACUUAUCGCUUGCAGCACAUCCCCUUUCGCAGCUGGCGUAUAGC